GACAGAGGUGCCAAGCGUUAGGCGGAAUCACUGGGCUUAAAGGGCGCGUAGGCGGGUCAGCAAGUCAGGGGUGAAAUCCCACGGCUCAACCGUGGAAGAGCCUGUGAUACUGCUGGUCUGGAGGGAGGUAGGGGCGUGCGGAACUUCCGGUGGAGCGGUGAAAUGCGUAGAUAUCGGAAGGAACACCGGUGGCGAAAGCGGCGCGCUGGACCUCUUCUGACGCUGAGGCGCGAAAGCCAGGGGAGCAAACGGG
rnacentral:rRNA from 1 species